CUUCUUCUUCUUCUUCUUUGUCUUUCUUCUUCUUCUUCUUUGUCUUUCUUCUUCUUCUUCUUCUUCUUCUUCUUUCUUCUUCUUCUUUGUCUUUCUUCUUCGUCUUUCUUCUUCUUCUUUGUCUUUCGUCUUCUUUCUUCUUCUUCUUCUUCUUCUUCUUCUUUCUUCUUCUUCUUCUUCUUCUUUCUUCUUCUUCUUUCUUCUUCUUCUUCUUUCUUCUUCUUUCUUCUUCUUCUUCUUUCUUCUUCUUCUUUCUUCUUCUUCUUUCUUCUUCUUCUUUCUUCUUCUUUCUUCUUUCUUCUUUCUUCUUCUUCUUUCUUCUUCUUUCUUCUUCUUCUUCUUCUUCUUCUUCUUUUUCUUCUUUCUUCUUUUUCUUCUUCUUCUUCUUUCUUCUUCUUCUUUCUUCUUCUUUCUUCUUCUUCUUCUUCUUCUUUCUUCUUCUUCUUUCUUCUUCUUUCUUCUUCUUCUUUCUUCUUCUUUCUUCUUCUUCUUUUUCUUUUUCUUUUUCUUCUUCUUCUUCUUCUUCUUCUUCUGUCUUCUUCUUCUUUCUUCUUCUUCUUCUUCUUCUUCUUCUUCUUCUUCUUCUUCUUCUUCUUCUUCUUCUUCUUCUUCUUCUUCUUCUUCUUCUGUCUUCUUCUUCUUCUCCUUCUACUCCUCCUCCUCCUCCUUCUCCUCCUCCUCCUUCUUUUGUUUGAUAGCUUUGGAAUUUGGCAAUUACAUUCCUGGGAGUUGUCUUUUGGGGGUUUAGUGUAGAAGGUGUUCUGUGAGCUCUGUCAGUGGCUGUAUUGCCCCCUUGUUCUAGAAUCUCUGGGCAAUUUUCUUUGAUUAUAUCUUGUAUCACCAUGUCCAGUUUGGUGUUUAUUUCUGGCUUUUCUGGGAGUCCAAUUAUUCUUAAAUUAUCCCUUCUCCCCCUAUUUUCCAGAUCUAUCACCUUGUCGGUGAGAUAUUUUAUGUUCUCUUCUAAUUUCUUGGUAUUUUGGCUUUGCUUUAUUGAUUCUUGCUCUUUUACACGAUCGUUGUCUUCCAGCUGCCUGAUUCUGGCCUUUAAAGCCUGGUUUUCUUUUACAGUUUGGUCAAACUGGUUUUGUAGAUGCGUGAAUUUCUUUUGCAUUAUUUCCAACUUUUCCUCCCUGAAGGCUUCCAUCUUUUUGGUCAUUUCUGAUUCAAAUUCUUCAUAGGUUUGUGGAGAGUUUCCAUUUCCUUUGGAAGGUUUUGGAGCAUUUUCUUUUAUAUUAUCUUCUGUCUGCUCUGUAUUUUGUAUUUUGGCUCCAUAGAAUGUGUCCAAAGUCGCCCCUUUCUUCUUAUUUUUCUUGGUAUUUUGGGGCUUCUGUGGUUCUGUGGAGUUUGCCAUUUCUGAAUGUGGAGGAUUAGUUUUUCUUGUCUCUGUCUGGUGUUCAGAGGCAGUCCUGGGCAGAUGGUUCUAUGAGCUUUCCCUGGGUUAAACUGAAUAUGCCUCACUGGAACUGGAAUGGAAGGGUCAGACCACGAGGCCACACUCUCCCCCCGGCUCGCUUUCCGGAAGUUGCCUUCAGAAUCGCUGGCCGUGAGGCUGUUUCGUCAGCCUGCAGGGGGAUGGGCUGCAGCUAGCCCAAGCUCUGAGGGCGAGGACUUUCACUGAGACUUGGAUAGCAGGAUCCAGCCCGUGAGGCUGUCUUGCCCGCCCUGAGGGUUGCUGUUGUUUCGACCAGCUCUCUGCAGAGGAAGCCCCAGGCAGUAACUUUCACCGGGACUGUAGAAGGCCUGAGGGUUCUGC
rnacentral:lncRNA from 1 species